rnacentral:rRNA from 1 species
GAUGAACGCUAGCUACAGGCUUAACACAUGCAAGUCGAAGGACCGGCGCACGGGUGAGUAACACGUAUCCAACCUUCCCUUUACUCGGGGAUCGCCUUACGAAAGAAAGAUUAAUACCCUAUAUAAAGAAUGGGGAUGCGUUCCAUUAGUUUGUUGGUGGGGUAACGGCUCACCAAGCCUUCGAUGGAUAGGGGUUCUGAGUGGAAGGGCCCCCACAGUGGAAGUGAGACACGGACCAAACUCCGACCGGAGGCAGGAGUCAGGAAGAGUUGGUAAUGAGCGCUAGCCAGACCCAGCCAAGUAGCGUGCAGGAUGAAGGCUUCUGGGUCGUAAUCUUCUUUUAUAGAAGACUGUGUAUUUGAUGAAUAAGGAUCGGCUAACUCCGUGCCAGCAGCCGCGGUAAUAC